CUGAAUUUUAAAAGGUGUUUAUGUUUAAGGGUAUGGUGGAUCCUGCUGAACUGAACUACAGCAGUAAGUAAACUUGGUCACAGGUACAUGUCUUCCUGUGCUGACUGGCUGGAUGGUAUUGGGUGAGCAGCCACUGUGGUCCCCAAAGGCAAAAAAAGUGAGCCAGCAAAGGGAAGUGAGAAGAGAAAGAAGUAUCAGCUCUUCUUCCCAGAAGGCCACUAAGGAAUUUGAUCUGUCACAGGAUGAAAAAGGCUUUGUGGACUGCUGAAGUUCUUUUCCCUUCAACCCCAAGUUGUGAUUGUUACCCUACCCCUGUCUUCCUGUUUUCAAUUUGUCUCCUACUCUGUCCUUCAGCAACAAAGCAGAACUCCUUCCCUCAAACCCACAGCAAAGAUACAGUGCAGCCUGAAGAACAGGAAUAUUCAAACUGACUUGCUGAAUUUAUUCUCUGAUGCCUGUAGUGGACUGGAGAGUGGGGAUUUGUGGAAGGAUGCAGAAAUAUAAACCAUAAAAAGAAAGGACUGCACAUACAUUUGUUUUUGCUCAGAAUUUUCAAAAGAACCACUGAAAAAUGCAAAUCAAGACUGAUGCUGCCAAGGAGGAUCCAUUUUUUCAGUAUGGUAGUGACCUCGUGGAGUCUUCCAUUACGUAAAGUAUAAGUCCCCAUUGCUGGGCCAGUACAGGGCUCCUCCCUUGUUCAUCAUGCACCUCGGAGCACGGUGCAAGGCUCCUUCAUGGUAUUUGGGCACCCGGAGGAUCUGCCUGAUUGUGCUUGGCCUCUGUCAAUCUGCUCCAAUUGUUGGUGAAAUCACUCUAGUGAUGAUUUGUCAUGUUUUAUCUUAUUGAGCCUGCACAGUUCUAUGUUAAAGAACGGAUUGUCUAGCAAAUUGGAAGGAAAGCCCAGGUCAGCACGAGGCCCUGUUGAAGAAAAUUUUGUGGAUACAGCACACCACUGGUUUGUAAAUCAUCUUGUGCUUCAUUAAGUAGAUGAUGUUUUUUUUAG
ensembl:lncRNA